GGGUCAGUAGGUUGGUCGUGCCACCGGUACGUACUGGUCUCACUGUUUCCUCCUUCCUGAAGAACCGUAAUGCCGUUAAUUUGGUGUUGCGGGGAAACAGGACUGUUACUUUGAAAAAAUUAGAGUGUUUAAAGCAAGCUAACGCUUGAAUACAUUAGCAUGGAAUAAUGAAAUAGGACGAUCGAUCCUAUUUUGUUGGUUUCUAGGAUUGACGUA
rnacentral:rRNA from 1 species